GGUCAGCGUUUGAUGCCGGCACCGAUCAAUAAACCUCGACCCCCGCGACUGGAAUGGAAUGAGUGACGUCGUUUACGAGUCGCUCAAUCGGCGCGGCGAGAUAAAACGACCUUCAACCAGGCCUGCUGAAGCUCCUCCAACAUCACCGAUGUGACUCACUGUCGCCCCCCGAGGAACGAGCAGGCAUUGCAACCCAAGCCUGAAGAAGCACAAAGACACUUUUCAAGAACGUGACUGGCUGAAAUACUCUCCACAUCUUCACUACAUCCGUGGAUCAAUGCAGACCUUACCUGAGGUAGACGGAGA